rnacentral:rRNA from 1 species
AUUGAACGCUGGCGGCAGGCCUAACACAUGCAAGUCGAGCGAGUGGCGGACGGGUGAGUACUGUCUGGGAAACUGCCAGAUGGGGGGGGAUAACUACUGGAAAAGGUAUCUAAUACCGCAUACCAUCAGAUGUGCCCAGAUGGGAUUAGCUAGGAGUUGUGGUAACGGCUCACCUAGGCGACGAUCCCUAGCUGGUCUGAGAGGAUGACCAGCCACACUGGAACGGAGACACGGUCCAGACUCCUACGGGAGGCAGCAGUGGGGAAUAUUGCACAAUGGGCGCAAGCCUGAUGCAGCCAUGCCGCGUGUAUGAAGAAGGCCUUAGGGUUGUAAAGUACUUUCGGUAGGGAGGCGUUACCUACAGAAGAAGCACCGGCUAACUCCGUGCCAGCAGCCGCGGUAAUAC